rnacentral:rRNA from 1 species
GAGUUUGAUCCUGGCUCAGAUUGAACGCUGGCGGCAGGCCUAACACAUGCAAGUCGAACGGUAACAGGAAGAAGCUUGCUUCUUUGCUGACGAGUGGCGGACGGGUGAGUAAUGCCUGGGAAACUGCCUGAUGGAGGGGGAUAACUACUGGAAACGGUAGCUAAUACCGCAUAACGUCGCAAGACCAAAGAGGGGGACCUUCGGGCCUCUUGCCAUCGGAUGUGCCCAGAUGGGAUUAGCUAGUAGGUGGGGUAACGGCUCACCUAGGCGACGAUCCCUAGCUGGUCUGAGAGGAUGACCAGCCACACUGGAACUGAGACACGGUCCAGACUCCUACGGGAGGCAGCAGUGGGGAAUAUUGCACAAUGGGCGCAAGCCUGAUGCAGCCAUGCCGCGUGUAUGAAGAAGGCCUUCGGGUUGUAAAGUACUUUCAGCGGGGAGGAAGGGAGUAAAGUUAAUACCUUUGCUCAUUGACGUUACCCGCAGAAGAAGCACCGGCUAACUCC